AAGACCUUGCGUUUUUGGAGCGGCCGAUGUCUGAUUAGCUAGUUGGUAGGGUAAUGGCCUACCAAAGCUUCGAUCAGUAGCUGGUCUGAGAGGACGACCAGCCACACUGGGACUGAGACACGGCCCAGACUCUUACGGGAGGCAGCAGUGGGGAAUUUUGGACAAUGGGCGCAAGCCUGAUCCAGCCAUGCCGCGUGAGUGAAGAGGGCCUUCGGGUUGUAAAGCUCUUUCAGCCGGGAAGAAAAGGCUACGACGAAUAAUCGUAGCUCAUGACGGUACCGGAAGAAGAAGCACCGGCUAACUACGUGCCAGCAGCCGCGGUAAUACGUAGGGUGCGAGCGUUAAUCGGAAUUACUGGGCGUAAAGGGUGCGCAGGCGGUUUUGUAAGUCAGAUGUGAAAUCCCCGGGCUUAACCUGGGAACU
rnacentral:rRNA from 1 species